AUAUUAAUAAGCGGAGGAAAAGGAGCUAACAAGGAUUCCCCUAGUAACGGCGAGUGAAGCGGGAUGAGCUCGAAUUUAAAAUCUGGCUGGUUUCCAGCCCGAGUUGUAGUUUAAAGAGGCGUUUUCGGUGGCAUCCGGGUAUAAAUUCUUUGGAAUAGGAUAUCAUAGAGGGUUAUAAUCCCGUCUUUGACUCGGCACUUGCUACUAUGUGAUACGUCUUCAAAGAGUCGAGUUGUUUGGGAAUGCAGCUCAAAAUGGGUGGUAAAUUUCAUCUAAAGCUAAAUAUUGGCGAGAGACCGAUAGCGCACAAGUA
rnacentral:rRNA from 1 species